rnacentral:rRNA from 1 species
AACGAACGCUGGCGGCAGGCUUAACACAUGCAAGUCGAACGGAGAUUUUAGCAAUAAAAUCUUAGUGGCGAACGGGUGAGUAACGCGUAGACAACCUGCCUUCUAGAUGGGGACAACACUGCGAAAGUGGUGCUAAUACCGAAUGUUGUAAUUGGAAUGCAUGUUCUGAUUACUAAAGGUGGCCUCUAUUUAUAAGCUAUCGCUAGAAGAUGGGUCUGCGUCUGAUUAGCUAGUUGGUGAGGUAAUGGCUCACCAAGGCGACGAUCAGUAGCCGGUCUGAGAGGAAGAACGGCCACACUGGGACUGAGACACGGCCCAGACUCCUACGGGAGGCAGCAGUGGGGAAUCUUCCGCAAUGGACGAAAGUCUGACGGAGCAACGCCGCGUGAGUGAAGAAGGUUUUCGGAUCGUAAAACUCUGUUUUCAGGGACGAAUGUGCUGAUUGUAAAUAAUGGUUGGUAAUGACGGUACCUGACAAGAAAGCCACGGCUAACUACGUGCCAGCCGCCGCGGUAAGAC